UUUUUUAAUUGAAAACUUGUAUGAAAGGUUGGACGAAAUAUUAGCUGUUUCAUAAAAAUUUUUAUAGAAUUUAACUUUUAAGUUAAAAGGCUUAAAUAUAAUUAAAAGACGAGAAGACCCUAUAGAGUUUUAUAUAAUAAAGAUUUUAAUAUAUUAAUAAUAUUUUAAAUUUUAAUUUUCUUUUAUAUUUUAUUGGGGAGAUAUUAUAAUUUAAUAAACUUAUAUUUUUUUAUUACAUUAAUUUUUGAAUUUUUGAUCCAGUUUUAUUGAUUAAAAGAUUAAAUUACCUUAGGGAUAACAGCGUAAUUUUUUUUAGAGUUCUUAUCAAUAAAAAAGAUUGC
rnacentral:rRNA from 1 species